UGAUUGGUUACAAAUUAAAAAAAUUAUAGGACACAAUUUAUUAUCGAUCAUAAAUCUUUAAAUUAGUUAGUCAUAAAUUAUAUAGUUUUUAGGUCACAUACACCAACCAAACACCCGAUUCCCACCUUCGAUACUUGAUAGCAAAUCAAUCAAGUAGUUGGUCACAAACUCUCUACUUCCCAACUGUCGCAGCUGCACCACCACCACCAUGACUGCCACCAACAUCAACUACAACACCACCACCACAGAUCACGGAACACCAUCACUGCACAUUGUGAUCACACCCAACCAGCCCGAUUCACUUCCACAUAUUCACGUUGGCAAACACGAACACUGCCUACUAAAUUCCACCAUUCUUCCAGCCACCACUCGCAACCGCCCACUGAAACACCAUGUACCACCUCCACCUGCAACUCUAACCAACCACCGCAUAACCACAACCACUGCCUGCUAAAAUGCACCAUUUCUUCCAACACUACAAUACCCUCAAAAAACCAUCCAACCACAGAUCAGAAAACCACCUACCCAUAGGGAUGCCGAGCGGCGCUGGAGAGUAGUCACCGGAGAAGAGAUAUGACAUUAAAUAAAGAGAGAUCGUGCAAGUCGUGCGUAAAAAAAAGUGCACCACCGCAAGUCAGUAAACAGUGCGAAAAAUCCCUAAAACCACCGCACCACCACCACACCAACUAGAGAAACAGAUGCAAAAAGGGGGGCGAGAGAGGGAGACGACGAUGAGCGCGCGCAUCGCUGCUUAUGACUGUAAGGUGCUGGGGCACGGUGGUUAGUGCUUCGCUUGUCGUCGGCAGACACACGAGCGUUUUGAAGAGUCAUCGGAGGGGAGGGAGGAAUGGAGAUGAAAAAUGAAGUAGCAAUUGAAAGAUGUAUU
rnacentral:lncRNA from 1 species